GAGCGAAGCGGGAAGAGCUCAAAUUUAUAAUCUGGCACCUUCGGUGUCCGAGUUGUAAUCUCUAGAAAUGUUUUCCGCGUUGGACCGCACACAAGUCUGUUGGAAUACAGCGGCAUAGUGGUGAGACCCCCGUAUAUGGUGCGGACGCCCAGCGCUUUGUGAUACAUUUUCGAAGAGUCGAGUUGUUUGGGAAUGCAGCUCAAAUUGGGUGGUAAAUUCCAUCUAAAGCUAAAUAUUGGCGAGAGACCGAUAGCGAACAAGUACCGUGAGGGAAAGAUGAAAAGCACUUUGGAAAGAGAGUUAACAGUACGUGAAAUUGUUGGAAGGGAAACGCUUGAAGUCAGACUUGCUUGCCGAGCAAUCGGUUUGCAGGCCAGCAUCAGUUUUCCGGGAUGGAUAAUGGUAGAGAGAAGGUAGCAGUUUCGGCUGUGUUAUAGCUCUCUGCUGGAUACAUCUUGGGGGACUGAGGAACGCAGUGUGCCUUUGGCGGGGGUUUCGACCUCUUCACACUUAGGAUGCUGGUGGAAUGGCUUUAAACGACCCGUCUUGAA
rnacentral:rRNA from 1 species